AGUGAACGCUGGCGGCAGGCCUAACACAUGCAAGUCGAACGGCAGCACAGUGGAGCUUGCUCCAUGGGUGGCGAGUGGCGGACGGGUGAGGAAUACAUCGGAAUCUGCCCAGUCGUGGGGGAUAACAUAGGGAAACUUAUGCUAAUACCGCAUACGACCUACGGGUGAAAGCGGGGGAUCGCAAGACCUCGCGCGAUUGGAUGAGCCGAUGUCCGAUUAGCUAGUUGGCGGGGUAAUGGCCCACCAAGGCGACGAUCGGUAGCUGGUCUGAGAGGAUGAUCAGCCACACUGGAACUGAGACACGGUCCAGACUCCUACGGGAGGCAGCAGUGGGGAAUAUUGGACAAUGGGCGCAAGCCUGAUCCAGCCAUGCCGCGUGGGUGAAGAAGGCCUUCGGGUUGUAAAGCCCUUUUGUCCGGAAAGAAACGCCUCGGAUUAAUACUCUGGGGUAAUGACGGUACCGGAAGAAUAAGCACCGGCUAACUUCGUGCCAGCAGCCGCCGCGGUAA
rnacentral:rRNA from 1 species